rnacentral:rRNA from 1 species
UACGGAGGAUGCAAGCGUUAUCCGGAAUGAUUGGGCGUAAAGCGUCCGCAGGUGGCGAUGUAAGUCUGCUGUUAAAGAGUGAGGCUCAACCUCAUAAGAGCAGUGGAAACUACAUAGCUAGAGUGCGGUAGGGGCAGAGGGAAUUCCUGGUGUAGCGGUGAAAUGCGUAGAGAUCAGGAAGAACACCGGUGGCGAAAGCGCUCUGCUAGGCCGCAACUGACACUGAGGGACGAAAGCUAGGGGAGCGAACAGG